rnacentral:rRNA from 1 species
AAUCAACGCUGGCGGCGUGCCUCAGACAUGCAAGUCGAACGAUUAAAGCUCUCUUCGGAGAGUGCAUAGAGUGGCGCACGGGUGAGUAACACGUAAGUAAUCUACCUUCGAGUGGGGAAUAACGUCCGGAAACGGGCGCUAAUACCGCAUAAUGCAGCGGCAUCGCAAGAUGACAGUUGUUAAAGGAGCAAUCCGCUUGAAGAGGAGCUUGCGGCAGAUUAGCUAGCUGGUAGGGUAAUGGCCUACCAAGGCUACGAUCUGUAACCGGUCUUAGAGGACGGUCGGUCACACUGACACUGAAUAACGGGUCAGACUCCUACGGGAGGCAGCAGUCGGGAAUUUUGGGCAAUGGGGGAAACCCUGACCCAGCAACGCCGCGUGAAGGAUGAAGUAUUUCGGUAUGUAAACUUCGAAAGAAUAGGAAGAAUUAAUGACGGUACUAUUUAUAAGGUCCGGCUAACUACGUG